GAAAAAGCCCUACUAAGGGCUACCUGCAUUAUGUACUAAAUUAUAU
rfam:Fusarium graminearum chromosome 1, complete genome